UACGUAGGGUGCAAGCGUUGUCCGGAAUUAUUGGGCGUAAAGAGCGUGUAGGCGGCUUGAUUAGUCUGCUGUGAAAGUCCAGGGCUCAACCCUGGAAUGCCGGUGGAUACUGUCAAGCUAGAGUCCGGAAGGGGCGAGUGGAAUUCCUGGUGUAGCGGUGAAAUGCGCAGAUAUCAGGAGGAACACCAAUGGCGAAGGCAGCUCGCUGGGACGUGACUGACGCUGAGACGCGAAAGCGUGGGGAGCAAACAGG
rnacentral:rRNA from 1 species